rnacentral:rRNA from 1 species
CCUACGGGUGGCUGCAGUGGGGAAUAUUGGACAAUGGGCGAAAGCCUGAUCCAGCCAUGCCGCGUGUGUGAAGAAGGCCUUCGGGUUGGAAAGCACUUUCAGUGGGGAAGAAAGCCUUGGGGCUAAUACCCUCGAGGAAGGACAUCACCCACAGAAGAAGCACCGGCUAACUCCGUGCCAGCAGCCGCGGUAAUACGGAGGGUGCGAGCGUUAAUCGGAAUUACUGGGCGUAAAGCGCGCGUAGGCGGUCUGAUAAGCCGGUUGUGAAAGCCCCGGGCUCAACCUGGGAACGGCAUCCGGAACUGUCAGGCUAGAGUGCAGGAGAGGAAGGUAGAAUUCCCGGUGUAGCGGUGAAAUGCGUAGAGAUCGGGAGGAAUACCAGUGGCGAAGGCGGCCUUCUGGACUGACACUGACGCUGAGGUGCGAAAGCGUGGGUAGCAAACAGGAUUAGAUACCCGAGUAGUC